rnacentral:rRNA from 1 species
AGCAGCCGCGGUAAUUCCAGCUCCAAUAGCGUAUAUUAAAGUUGUUGCAGUUAAAAAGCUCGUAGUUGAAUUUCGGGAUCAAAGGAUCGGUCAUGCCUUGGUAUGUACUGGUUUUAUUGGUUCUCACCUUCUAAAGAACCAUAAUGUCAUUCAUUUGAUGUUAUGGGGAAUUAGGACUGUUACCUUGAAAAAUUAGAGUGUUUAAAGCAGGCUUACGCUUGAAUACAUUAGCAUGGAAUAAUGAAAUAGGACAUCAGAUUCUAUUUUGUUGGUUUCUAGGAUCGAUGUAAUGAUUAAUAGGGAUAGUUGGGGGCAUUAGUAUUCAAUUGUCAGAGGUGAAAUUCUUGGAUUUAUUGAAGACUAACUACUGCGAAAGCAUUUGCCAAGGAUGUUUUC